AUUGAACGCUGGCGGCCGGCCUAACACAUGCAAGUCGAGCGAGCGGCGGACGGGUGAGUAAUGUAUGUGGAUCUGCCCGAUCGAGGGGGCUCACUACUGGCAACGGUGGCUCAUACCGCCUACUUUCGUAUGAACCCAUAUGGGAUUAGCUAGUAGGUGGGGUAAAGCCUCACCUCGGCGACGAUCUCUAGCUGGUCUGAGAGGAUGAUCAGGAACACUGGGACUGAGACACGGCACAGACUCCUACGGGAGGCAGCAGUGGUGAAGAUUGCACAAUGGGCGCAAGCCUGAUGCAGCCAUGCCGCGUGUAUGAAGAAGGCCUUAGGGUUGUAAAGUACUUUCAGCGGGGAGGCGUUACCCGCAGAAGAAGCACCGGCUAACUCCGUGCCAGCAGCCGCGGGAAUAC
rnacentral:rRNA from 1 species